AAAAAUGUCGCAAACGUUUUCUUACACAAAAUUGCACAUAUAUUGGAACACUUGAUGCAUAUAUUUUAAUAUGUAUAUUUUCGGAAUUUUAUAAUAUUUCUGCAACAUUACUGGAACAUUUCGGUAUAAUAUUGAUAUUGCAAGUUUCUGAAAUGUCUCUGGAAUAUUAAAAUGCAACUCGAAAUAUUGUAACGUUGCAGCAAUGUUGCUGAAAGCUUCUGUGCUAUAUGGAUAAUAUAUCUUCCAUUUCUACGACUAAAGUAUUAAUAGCUGGACAAUUAUAUAAAGUAAUGAAUGCUAUAUUUCAUAGUGGUGGAUGUAUCGAGGAAGGACAUUACACAAGAUAUGUAAAGAAGGAUCAUCUAAUACUUGGAUUGAAAUUGAUGAUGCGCGAAUUAAAAAAAGCAGCUGUCCCAGAGGUGCUAAAGAUCUUUAUGUACUUUUCUUACAAAAAGGAAGAAAAUAACACAUUAAUAACACAUUUAUUUAUUAAGUAAAAUAAUGGAAGAUAAAGAUGAGAAAGUAAGCACUUUCUUAUUAAAUAUACUAAAUAUAUAUUUUACUAAACAACUAAAAUAAAUUUGCAUAUAAAUUAUAUCAACUACUUAUUUAUCAUUAUACUUUGGCUGGUAUUUAUAGUUCGAGCUUUUAUUCUAUUAAGCCCGUAUCAAAUUAAAAAUUGAAAUUGGAAUUGAAUUAAAAUGUAAUCAGAAAAAACAAAACCAAUAUAAUUUUGUUUUGAUUUAUCAAAUUUUAAUUUAAUUUUAAUUUCAACUUUUCAUUUGUUUGGACUUUAAAAUCAUCUUAAGAAUAUCUAUAUAUUAUAAAAAGAAAUGAGAUUACCUAUCACUACGAAAUGAGUGAAAUCCCCACAAAAAUUACCUUUUUAAAAAAAGGUAAAAAAAGCGUCAAGUAUACGUGCGCAAAAAACCACCACGCACGUACACUUGACGCAAGGCACUACCGUGCCUCUUGAUUAUCAAAAUUAAUUUAAAUAUUGAUAGUCUUCCUCUUUCUAAAAGCUCACAAAGCCAAUUAUGGCCUAUACUUGGUCAAGUAUAUACUAAAGAUUUUAAAACGGAAUCUUUUUUAAUUGGUGCUUAUCACGGUUAUAAAAAACCCACAAACGGUAAUAAUCUAUUACAAGAAUUUUGUAAGGAAUACCAUAAGCUGCAAAGAGGUUUCUCUUUCAAAAAAAAAAUUAUUUUGUAAAAAUCAGAGCAAUUGCUUGUGAUGCUCCUGCUAAAUCUUUUGUUACUGGAACUAAAAGGCAUAAUGCAUAUUUUGGUUGUGGAAAAUGUUGUCGUGAAGGUGAUUAUCACAAUCACAAAAUGAUUUAUCUGGAUGAAAAUGCUCCAUUAAGGACAGAUAAUGAUUUUUGCAAUCGGAAAAAUAAAGACCACCAUAUUUCUGUUUCGCCCUUUGAAGAUUUAUCUGAUAUUGAUAUUGUUGCGCGCCGCGCGUAUACUCCGCGCCACCAGUCGGUAUACUCCGCGCCACCAGUUAGCUGUAGGACCGAUAGAUAAUAUCGAUCGGUCGGUUGUCGGGAGAGAUUUGUUUAGCAACUAGUUUGUAAAUAAGGACAGAUGUUCAGAUGUGUGCCGGACUCCUGCCGUGGAGAACGUCAUUCGGGAUUUCUCGGUUUGUAUUCUUGCGCAAUACAAGUGACUGUUUCUUUUAAAUCGGCCUCGCUUCAUUUCUAUGCGGACGUUGAACGCGUGUGAGAGUGAGAGAGUGCUACGUGGUGUAAUAAUAUAAUUCACACCUUUUCAUUAGAUUAUAUGCAUCUGAUCUGCUUAGGAAUAAUGAAAAAAUCAUACAAUUAUGGCCCCAAGGGAAAUCAUAUAUCAUGAUUACGUGCAGCAAACGUAGAAGCAUUAUCUACAGAUUUAAUAUCCUUACGUAAAUUUAUACCAAUAGAGUCUUGCCGUCAUCCACGAGAUUUGAAUGAAUUGGAUUGUUGGAAGGCAACAGAAUUUAUAAUGUUUUUAUUAUAUCUGGGGGCCUAUAAUUUUACGCAAAUAUUUAAAAGAAGAUUAUUUUAAACAUUUCUGUGUGCUACAUGUUGCCAUACGUAUUUCAUGUCAUACAAAAGAUGCUUGUGUAUUAAUACGUAUGCACAUAAAUUGUGCAUUAUAAUGUAUUUUAUAAAAACGUUAAAAAUAUUAUAUGGUGAAGAUAACAUAAUCUACAAUGUUUACAACACCAUUCAUCUUUGUUCUGAUGUUAAAACAUUCGGUUCUCUUGAUACAUUUAGUGCAUUUUCUUUUGAGAAAUACAUAAAAAUUAUUAAGAAAAUGUUACGCAAAUCAGAAAAACCGUUGUCGCAAUUAAAUUAUAGAAUUAACGAACAAAAAAUUAAAUGUAUAUCUAAUUACAACGUUUCAAGUAAUGAACCAUUAUUUAUAAAAUCAAAUGAAAGAAUUUCCUUUGCAAUGUGAAAAUAAUCAAGUGGAAUACAAAAAUUGAAAUUAAAAGAUAUUACAUUAACAACUAAAUCAACUUAUAAUUGUUGUUACUUGAAAGAUGAAUUUGUUCUUUCCAUAAAAUAUCUUGAGUUAAAAGAUGGGAAUGUAAUCAUCUUGGAAAGAAAAUAUCUUGAUCUUCAACCAAUACCAUUGUAUCCAUGUAAUUCCCAAAAUUUGAAUAUACAUACGUUAAAUAGUAAAUUAUCAGAUCUUGCAGUAGUAUCUGCAACAGAAAUAGAUAAUAAAGGUAUAACAAUCUUGUAUAACAACAAUCACUACAUAAUACCUCUUCUGUAUCAUUAAUCUACACUAAUGUAAUUAGAAAAAAUGUAACAAAUGCGAGAAAUAUUCCAACAAAAAAUCAUAUAUUAUGUUGUAAUUUAUGAAGAUUGGUGCUCGAUAGUACCACAACAUUGGAUAAAUUUUGAAAAUAAAACAUACGUAUGGCCUCCAAAAGAAAAAAA